CGAAACCAUCUGCGGUGAGCGAGAGUGGUGUGAAAAGGGAAAGCAAACGCUGCUUUGUUUAUGAUUUGGUAUGGAGAGUUGUUACUCUCAUGCAAGCGCAGAAUGUACGUGCAUGUUGGUAGUUGGCUGUAGUCUUUGCGGUGUGUUCAAGUGUUCUACUUUUUGACGGCGACACAGGCGACGUGAGCCGAUGCAACAGUCAGCCUUUGUCGCUGCUAGUUCUUUGAUGUCAAGUUAUUGUGUCCCUAGCUUUAAUCACAGAGGAAUACAAAACCCAUUGGUGAUGCUGUGCUGUGGGGUGGUCUGACCGGAACCAGAGAACUGCACAGUGCAUAGCCUAGGCGGCUAGUUGGAACGACAGGUGCGGCCUCGUACCUGCUGAGAGCGACAACGUGGCUGAACAUGGACC
ensembl:lncRNA